rnacentral:lncRNA from 1 species
UGUCUCCAGUUGCAGGUGUUCGCCACUGUCGUGCGAGGUGAGUGAGAUUCCAGCUCAUUCCCUCCUCCAUCCCCAGAGCACAACUCCAACGAGCUUGUCGACUGGUGAGUCCUGCUAUUGCUGAUGCUCCUGUUAUUCACCAUCAUGUAGCAGUAGAGCAUCCAUGGCAGAUCGUAGAUUACUCAUAGUAGUUUGAAUAAAAUGGUAGCAAUAGCACGGCCGCUGUGGCUAGAAUGCAUGGUGAAAAUUGAAACUGCGUGUAAGAUAGAUUUGGGAGCACACUUUUGUUUUUGCUGGGGAGUCUAGGUGAAUGGACAUGGUUUACUUCGUGAAAGUCUGAAUGUAGUGUUUGGAUUAGGUCUGAAGUUCAAGUUGCUAGCUAGCUGAAGAUCCAUGAGCCAUCUUGCUUAUUGGCAGUCGCCGCGGCAGUGGGCACAGUGAUGGUGUUCGUGCAGCUGCCGAAAGAGUCCCAAUUUUUAUCUGUCUAAAGUGAUUCUGAACUUGUGAAAUUGGUGAUGACAUAUUUAUCUUGAUAAAAUGCAUUUUAGUUCUAAUACCUUGUUUCUGCUCACUUGCGCUAGUAAUUAAGUUCCUAUAAUGAUUUGUACUAUAAAAAUAUCGUUCCACAGUAACAAUAUGGAGAGGUGAGUUUUUACGAUUUUAGUCAAAAACUGAAAAUGUCAUUGCUUCUUGAAAGCAUGUUGUCUUUCUGUAUGAGCUCUUGUAGAUUAUUAUAGAUUAUGUACUUGUUGAACCAUGGUCUCAUUUUUAACAUUCAGAAAAUGAUAUGGUUAAAAAACGAGUUGAUGAACCUUUUCUAACACACAUGUUGAUGAUGCGCAGACAGAAAAGGAGAUGGGAGCCACACUCCUAUAGGCCACGAACCUGAAGCUGACGAGGUAUCGAGAAGAAAUAAGUAUUGGUGAACCAACCCUUGGGUAUUGCUGACAAUUUUGUUACAAAACAAACAUGUACAAAGAUGUUAGACCUGUUACAUUUGCCCGUGUUGCUUUAAUUUGGUAGCCUGCUACAUUUGUCCUCCUGAUUAAAUCUGAGAUCGGAUGGGUGUACAUUUUUGUUUGCAACUUAUGAGUGAUUGGGUGUUCAGAGACUAAAACCAACCAAGUUUAUAGGGUAAAAACCAUUGGCUCAGGUUUCAGUGAAAACCAACUGCUCGGUCCGAUAAAGCCUAUUCCAAAAUUCAAAAUAGAGUGUUUAUGCCCCGAGAAAAAAAUUGAAAAUAUAUCCUUUUCUUGUUUAUGAAAAAGCUGACUUGAUGUCUGUCGAGAAAAUUUCGAAAAGUCCAAAUUCUAAAAAAAUUGAAGUUCAAAUUGUAAAAAACAUGUAUUUCCUCGUUUCUAAAAAAUGAAACGGAG